GACCAGACUCCUACGGGAGGCAGCAGUGGGGAAUAUUGCACAAUGGGGGAAACCCUGAUGCAGCGACGCCGCGUGAGUGAAGAAGUAUUUCGGUAUGUAAAGCUCUAUCAGCAGGGAAGAAAAUGACGGUACCUGACUAAGAAGCCCCGGCUAACUACGUGCCAGCAGCCGCGGUAAUACGUAGGGGGCAAGCGUUAUCCGGAUUUACUGGGUGUAAAGGGAGCGUAGACGGCAUGGCAAGUCAGAUGUGAAAGCCCGGGGCUCAACCCCGGGACUGCAUUUGAAACUGUCAGGCUGGAGUGCAGGAGAGGUAAGUGGAAUUCCUAGUGUAGCGGUGAAAUGCGUAGAUAUUAGGAGGAACACCAGUGGCGAAGGCGGCUUACUGGACUGUAACUGACGUUGAGGCUCGAAAGCGUGGGGAGCAAACAGGAUUAGAUACCCUAGUAG
rnacentral:rRNA from 1 species